UGUGUGCUAAAAUUUUGUGUAGGGGAGGAGGAGAAUUAAAAGGGCAAAGUCACAAACACCUCCAAAUGGAAGGAAACCACACAAGUGCAGUAAACCAACAGUAGUCGCUGUGAGUCCCCUUUGUAUCUGGAUUUAAACAUUGAGGUCAAUGUUUAGUUCAGGUGUGGGGGGGUUUUUCCUUUCAUGUUUUAUUUCCAUCGCUUUUGUUUUUGUUGUCGUCGUAUUGUUUUUGUUUGUUUUCGUUGUUUACUUGUGUGUACAGAGUGAUGAGAAAUGGUUGGACGAAUCCGGGAUCAAUGGUAGUGGAUGAAUGACACCCCUCAAACUUAGGCUGAUAAGGCACCCCGGAAGUUGAUGCAACCUUGAGAAAAGAAGUCGGACACAAUUUGGGGACACCGGACCAAGAGAGCGGUAUGGAAAGACCAAGUCAGAAAAGAACCACAUAACACGAGGAGACUUCAGAGCUUGC
rnacentral:lncRNA from 1 species